UGGUGGUCCGUGUCCCAGGUGUCAUGCCUAUUCCAGUGGAUCAGUCAGGAGAGAACCAACUCAUCCUCACACCACACAGGAGAAACUUUGACAUCACAGUGGCUGCAGUUUGUAGCUUCCCUAUCUCUUAGCCAGUUGCCAUGGCAGACACGCUGGAUAAACCCCCAGGGGAGGAUGCCUCUACCUUAAGUUCCCAAUUUUAUACUAAUUACAAUUGUGCAUUUUAAAUCUUAAUUAACAAAUGGACUUAAUUGGCUAAUCUAUCUGAGAUCAGGGUGCCUCCCUUUUGGGAGACCCUCUCUUAACGGGACUGCAACAGACAGGUCUUUUACUUAAGAAACGGAGUGGGUCACUAGCCCUCAGGAUUAUGACCCUGGGCAACACAGUCUUUAGCCCUAGUUUGCCUUUGACACAUGGAAAGGCCACAAGCCCAGCGCCAUUUUCUUACAAAGCAGAUCAUGCUUUCCUUGUCAACAGACAACCCCUCAGUGCAGGCCUGGUUGAACCAGCAAGACAAGUGAGUUAUCAUUGACAGGUACGUCCUGGGGGACAUCUACCAACCUAAGACAGAGAGUUUGUGAGGCCUGGACAGACUUCUCAUUGACUGGGGAAUUGAACCUAGGACCUCAGUCAAGCACUCUACAACUGAGCUACAGCCUCCAGCCAUGAUACGUACCUUCCUGGCAGAGCUUUCUCCCCAGCCCUUGCCCAUCUUUCCCAUGUCAGGUGCUGCGAAAGCCCUGAACCAGAUGCAUCCAGCAAGCACUCUGUAAUUGCUGAGCGACAAGCUGCCGUUCCCUCUGGUUCCAAGCUUCGACACCUCAGCCUCGAGUGGAUGGAAAGGACAGGCUCAUCAUGUGGGAAGACUUAAUUUUUUCCCCUUUCUUCCCAAACAUCUCUGAGUAACACCCUGUCCCUGGUUCUAUAAACUUGAAAGAGGGAAAAUAUA